CCUCAGCCUAAAUAACAGUUGAUGCCUCAUUCCAGCUCAGUAACCAGUCUCAACCGGCUCAAACCGGCCUUGGUCAGAUAGAUUGGCAGCCGAGCCGCCGCCUCUCUUCCUCCCAUGAAUUUUCUCUGCCCCACCCAUAGAGAAACAACACUGAGAAGAAGCUUAGUUCUAUUUUUAUGUAGGGAUUAAGUGCUAGCCUUGAACUAGUCCUCCUAAUACUGCCUCAACAAUAGGCAGAACUGCAAAAUCUUCCUCUGCUCCCCUAAUCAAGGGGAAUAAAGUCAGGAUUUCCUCCCACCCCAGUACUUUUAUGGUAGGGGGAUGCACUGCCUCCUGUCUUUUCCCUCCAAAACCUUUGGAGGAGGAAUAUUGUAGUGCCCGUCCUUUCAUCAGCAUGAGUGCUCCCCCACAAUAAUUUCUGACCAUAGUAGGAAGAAUGACUCUCCUUUACCCCAGAUUACACUUUGGGGGGGGCAUGGUUAAUGGUGUUUUCUGGCCCCUCUCUGAAAUAUAGGUAAUAACUUUAUGUACAAGUCCUAUUAGUUUACUCAUUCUACCAGAACCCAGAAUGCAGGAGGAGAUACUGCAUCAUGAUCUGUAGCUCUCCCUUUACAACACUAAAGCACCUCGCACACCGCAACAAAAGCCUAAUUUCUUCCUUUAAGGUCUACUGAAAGAACUUACUAGGUCACAUAAUACAUGUAUGUUACUAACAAGAUGCAAGGCUGCCUAUCUUCUCCCUUACAAGACAACCAGAGGGGAAGGGGUAAAAUGUCAUGUUAUUCCUUCUGCUCUUUUCAAAAUGUUUCGCAACAAGGGGGACCACAGUGUAUUCCUUUCCCCUUAAUAACACGCUUCUUUCAGGUGGUGGCAGGAAAUAAAGUACUUACUAUUCCUGCUCAAGGAAUCCAACAAGGAAUUCUCACUUCUCCUCCCUGGUUCAGUAAGAUUAAUAGCUGUCUGUCCCCUUUCUUCAACAAAAAGAUCAUCCACUAUUUUACAUUUUGUUUCAAAAUAAUCCGGAGCCCAGGAGGUUAUUUACACAAUCUCUUAUGCUGAGAUAACAACCUUGUAAUUUCUUUCAAUCUUAGAUCUGUUUAUACUAUCAAAGGGUACAGCUGAGGUUGAAGUAGGUUUAAAAGCAAAGGAACAGCCUCUGGGUCUUUCUCCUCUCUUGCCCUCAUGAAAACAGGUACACUUAGUACCUGUAUAUCUGAUGAGUGGGUAGAAUUUCCCUCCUCUUAGCGGGUGUCUGUGUUGUGCUCCCUAGGGUUGUUAAAUCGACAUGUGAGACAGUAAUCCUGGUAUGCUGAGGUGAAUCUGUUGGCAUGGGAAAACAAUAUCAAAUUAGCAAUAUUUGUAACAACCCUGGGGCAUACAAUCAUGUAAAUGAGCCCCAAGCUACAUGGCAGAGGCCCUCACAGACUAAAGAGGUGGAGAAAUAGUAUUUACCUCUGACUGGAUUACCAAAGUGUCACUACUCUUUCAAGCAAUUUAUACUCACAGCACCCCACUGAGCUCUCUUCAGCUGGACCCUAUGUGGGGGAGGAGGUCCCUUUUGAGAAGCAGCAGUUAUGUUGUCUGUCUGACUCAUCCGUAUCCUGGCUGCCAGUUUUCACGGUACUGUGGAAGAACCAAGCAGCUGCAGUUUCUUGUGAUCUGACUCCAGGCUCUGCUACACUUCCUUGGAGGCUCCACAAGCCUUCUUAUCAGAAGGUCUCAGGUGGCUAGUUUUGGAAGUCUCUGAGAACAGGAGACCAGUCAGAUUAUUAGAUGCAUGAAUGGAUUACUGAAAGAAGACAGCAAAAUUGCAGAAAAACGGAAAUAUUUAUUUGCAUCAGUCUUCACUGGAGAAGAUGCUGGACAGAUGGGAUGCCCAUUCCUGAGCUUUUUUGGGGAAUGGCAUCUGAAGUAAAUCAAAUAGAUGUAACAGAUGAUGUUCUAAGGCUAAUUGACAAUUUAUGUAUUUACCAUAUGUUUAUACCACCUGAUAUGACAUCUCUAGGUGGUGUACAGAGUUAACACAACAAUGUAAAACAGAAUAAGAACAGUUAAAAUUUGCAAGACAAACACAAUCUCACAAAAUAAAAACAGAUUACAUAGAUUAAAAUUCAUUUCAGGUUUAAAACUGUCAAGAAGUUAACCAGUCACUGGUCCAGAUGGUAUAAAUCUUAAACAAUUCAAGUGUAAAUUGUUAAUCUUUUAAAAAAUAAAUAUAUAUAGCUUGUCACUAAAGUUGGCCUCCUUACCUAGGGUCUGGAAUUUAGCCAACAGAACACUAAAUAGAACCUGGGGGGAACUUGGAAAUCAUGGGCUUGUUGCCUUAAUGUCUUUCAUUGAUAGACUGGUAGAAGACAUUAUUAAACAUCUAGAAGAACAAGACUUGCUGAGGAAGAAUCAGCAUAGCUUCUGCAAAGGGGCCUGGCUCACAAAUCUUUUGGAGUCUGUGUAAGCAAGCUUUUAGAUCUGGUAGAUGUUGUAUACUUUGACUUCCAAUAAGACAGUCUCUUACCUAAGGCCCCUGAAUCAACUUGGCCAUUUUGGAACAGGAAAACAGCUAUUCUAAUGGUUUGGUAACUGGUUAAAAUCAGUAAGCAGAGGGCAGGAAUAAAUUGACUAUUUUCACAAUGGAGGGGUGUUUCCCAAGUAAUAUGUAUCAGGGCUGGUGCUAUUUAAUCUUUUCAUAAAUAAUCUGGAGUAGGAACAAGAUAGUCUAGUUUCUGGGUGAUAACAAAUCUUCAGGAUGAUAAAAACCUAAACAAACUGCAGAAUGCCAAAAGGACCUGUACAAACGGGGUGGUUGAACAGCAAAAUGGGAGUACUUCUGGAUUCACAGCUCUCCCUGGUUUCUCAGGUUGAGGCGGUGUCCAGGGGUGCUUUCUAUCAGCUCCGGCUGAUACUCCGGCUGCACCCAUUUCUUGAGAUCAGUGACCUCAGAACAGUGGUACAUCUGUUGGUAACCUCCACACUUGACUUCUGUAAUGCACUCUAUGUGGGGCUGCUUUUGUAAGUAGUCCGGAAACUUCAGUUGGUUCAGAAUGUGGCAGCUAGAUUGGUCUCUGGGUCAUCUUGGAGAGACCACAAUACUCCUUUACUGAUGGAGCUCCACUGGCUGCCAAUAAGUUUCCUGACAAAAUACAAAGUGCUAGUUAUAAUUUACAAAGCUCUAAAUGGCUUAGGCCCUGGGUAUUUAAGAGAGUGCCUUCUUCAGUACGAGCCCCACUGCCCAUUGAGGUCAUUUGAGGAGGUCCGUCUCCAGUUACUUCCAACUCAUUUGGUGACUACACAGAGAUGGGCCUUCUUGGUCGCCCCUGCCAUGGGAUUGUGGAAUGUGCUCCCUGCUGAGAUAUGUGCCUCCCCAUCUCUGGCAAUUUUCAAAAAACACCUGAAAACCCAUCUUUUCACCCAAGCUUUCUCAGCUUCUUAAAUUUUUAAGGUUUUAAUCUCUGGUUUAUUUUUAAAUUUUUAAAUUGUUUUAAGUUUUAAAAAAUGUUUUUAACUUGUUUUAUGCUAUUGUUAACUGCCCAGAGAUGAAAGAUUGGGGUGGUGUACAAAUUUGAUAGAUAAAUAAUAAAAUAAAUAAAAUGGCAAAUGAUGUUCAGUGUAAGUAAAUAUAAGAAGAUGCACAUUGUAGCAAAACUCAGAUUGACAUAUACACUGAUGAAGACUAAACUGGUAGCCACUAGCUAGAAAAGGAUCUUGUGGUUGUGAUAGAUAGCUCAGUGAAAACAUAAUGCAGUAUGUGGUUAUAAUUUUAAAAUGUUUUAGAACAUAAGAAGAGUCUUGCUGGAUCAGACCAAAGAUCCAUCUAGUCAGUGGCAUAGGUUCAGAGAUGUAAGUUUUGGAUGGUAUAAAAAUAUGUUAAUAAAUAAAAAUAAAUAAAAUAGGUAGCUCACUGGCAGCCAUGGGACAGGCUCUUACGAGUGGCCCCCUUCCCUAUAGUAAUUUGUUUGUGUGUGUGUGUGUGUGUGUGCAAGAGUGUGCUGGCCAUAUGACAUCAUACACAGAGUGUGUGGCCACAAAUGGGAAGAUGGGCCAUUCUGCUGCUUCCCGUCAGUGCUUUGUUUUUGCACCAUUCAGAUUGGGUACAUUCUUUCUCUGCACUGAAUGGAAGCAUCAGAAGAGCAGUGUGGCCCAUCUUGCCACUAGUGGCUUUGGGCGUGAUGAAAGCAGGGGACAGGCAAGCAUCUGGUGGCCCUCUAAAGAUCUGGGGGAAAGCAGGGGGAGAGCCUCUGGUGGCCCCCGAAGUGCUUGGAGAGACGGCAGCCUGAGGACACUCAUCCCUCCAUGCUCCAUGAAGCCACAUGCUUGCAUCUAGUCCAGCAUCCAGUUUCGCAUAGUGGCCAAUUGGAUGCAGGGCAUGAAGGCAAUAGCCCUAUCCUCUUGUUGUUGCCCAGCAACUGGCAUUUAGUGGUAAUAAGACAUGGAAGUUCUAUUUAGCCAUCAUGUCUAAUAGCUCCUUUCUAUAUAGUUGUUACAACGUAGAGAUUUUUUGCUAAUAUAAAGCACUGAUAAAUAUCUUAAUUUUUAGGAGGUUAGAAUUUAUGUAUGAAACAAAAUUUUCAUGGAACUAGAAUAUACAUAAAGAAAAUCUGUUGUUCCAUUGAAAGAAUUAAUGGACCCAAAUGUCUGCCAAAAUGAGAUGUGCAAUUUGUGUGUAAUUUCCCCCAUGAUUGUUUUGUGCAGUCAUUUUGCUUUCAGCUAAACCAUCAUAUCUCACAGCAUCUAUGUAGAUCAACUGACCAGUGAGCAGAAAUGGGAGAAAAGCAAGUGAGAUAAACUGUCACAACCUCCAUCUCCACCAGCUUCUGCUACUCUGUAGUUGAGACUGGGCCUCUCCUCUCCUCACAACAGUGAUUCAGUACCAGCUAAAAGAUCAAGACAGAGAUUGGAGAGAAUGGAAAUUUGUCAGAGCAUCAAGACUAGUAAAGAGCUCAUCAUUCCAACAGGACUGUUAAUUCUCACAUUGCAUGGAACACCCAAUGGAGACAGAAGCAGUGAGAGAAAUGCCUUGCCUGUUCCAAGCUGAAGGGGCCCAACUGGGGUGCUUAACUUGAGUCUUCAAAAAAAUAAUAGACAUGACACUGGCCAACUGCCCUGAAAGCAGGAGAGAGAAGGAAGCAAAGGAGGCACUCUGUUAUUAUAAUCCCUACCAAAACUGUUGCUGCUCUAUUAACUGAUGGCUAGUCCCCUUCCAUGCACAACAGGAUAUUAAAAGACCAGAUAUGUGGUGGGGUUUUCUGUUUUUGUUUUUUGUGUGUGGAUUUCUAGGGGGUGAUAUUUCUUUUCAGCAGUGCCAUUUUAUCUGUAGUCUAAGAAUCGCUGGGUGAGAUAGGGAAUAGAACCAGAAAAAGUAUGUUGUGAGAGGGCUAUGUCUUGUAAGAAAAUGAGUAACAGGAUAAAUAAAAUUUCAAUAUGUUGAAAGGAA